rnacentral:misc_RNA from 1 species
CGGGACCCACUCCUUCCCCUCCUCUCCGCCGCCCUCGGUAAACCCUUCCACGACCCCGAUAUAUUCUCCGAUCCGCCGAGGAUAGCAACGAACCGUCGGAAGGGGGCGGCGGCGGCCGCCGGAUUCGACGGCGGGAGCGACGGAGGGGACAGUGGCGGCGGCGGUGAUGAUUGGGAGGAGAAGCUUAGAAUCCGGCUGAAG